CGCAUUUCUCUGACUGUUAUCUCUCUCUCUAAACCCUAGAAAUUGGCAAUGUCUCUCUCAAAAAUUGGCGGUGACAAUUACGGUGAUGGUAACGAAGACGGAUUCUAUUAAAGGGACUUUUGCCACAUUCCCUAUUAAGAAACAGGGUUAAGCAAAACAUUAAGGAGAUAUUUUCGGAUCCUCCAGAAGAGAUUUUUGGAUUACGUUAAGGUUUUUAUGCACCUUGCUCUCAUCAUUGGCUCUUCUUGCUGAAUCUUUGCUUGUUGAGUGCACUGAGGAACAAUCAUCUCUUCUAGCUAGUCAACGGAACAAAAAUUGGUGUCCUAUUCCCAACAUUCUUCUCAACACAAGCUUCUUUGAACUUGAUAAGCAAAACUUACUUAAGGCAGAAGCUAAGACGGUGCAUUUACACGAAGGAAGGGAAUUUGACCUCUACGAAGAGCCAUGACUGUCACAUUUUCAUGGAGUCACUGAUGCCUAUUGCAUUCAGUGUAUUGUCUGAUAGAAUAUGGAUGCCCAUAACAGAGAUAAGCUUAUUUUUCAAAGAUUUAUGUUCUAACACAUUAAGGGAGGAGAACCUAUCUUUGAUGGGAUAUUAACAUUUGCUUAACCUUAAACAAGAUGGCAAAAAUUUUUCCUCCUAUUUUUUUUUAUGUUAUGGAGCAUUUUCCAAUUCACCUUGUACGUGAGGCACGACUUGAAGGGCCUGUUCAGUGUAGAUGGAUGUAUCCCUUUGAGAGGUAUUGACUUUUAACAUUUACUUUUAUGUGUUAUAAUUGAAUAUUAUUUCAUCUAAAAUAUCAUACUAUGCAGGACUAUUGACAAAUGUAAGCGGACCAUAAAAAACAAAUCUCGAAUUGAGGGAUCAAUAUGUGAGGCUUAUUUGGCUAAAGAGACCUCUUAUUUUUGUUCAUAUUAUUUUAAACAUGGUGUACCAUGUAUGAGAAACCGACCUAAUAGGCAUGAUGAUGGAGAUAAUACAAAAUUUUCAGCACCACAAUUUUCAAUAUUCAAUCAACCAGGUAAAGAAAGUCCGAAAAUUGGUCCACUUCGAUAUUUGAAUGAGGUGGAGCUUAAGUCAGCUACAACACAUGUAUUAUUAAAUUGUCUCAAGGUCCUGCCUUUUCAUAAGUUCAUAAUCCACUGAAUUAUGACCCAAAUGACCAGUUUUUAUGUGAUAUAGCUUGGAGAACUGAUGCUAAAUUGGUUAGUAAAGAAAAUCAAUGGCAUCAAAAGGUAAUGUUAAUGGACGGCGUAAGAAAAGUAAGAAAUGACCCAACAAUCUUCCUGAUGGUCAAUAUCCAUCACCACCACCACCUGUUACCACAACUCUUCAACCAGCUACUACAAAUAUUCCUCCCCCUCCUAGAUCAACUAUUUCACUACCAAAUGCUUUUUUCAUGCCUCAACCGUCUGACCUGUUACAGAGUUCUUCAUCCCAAAAUAGUCUGCAUAGUAGCUCUUCAUCUGUGCCUUUGACAUCAUCUAUACCAAGCCUUUCUGUAUUGAGAAUUGGAGGUCCUAACGCACCAACAUCACCAUCUAUUGAUAGUUCUAUAGUGUCUAAUGCUACAACAGUUGCUUCCCAGAAUCUACAAUUUAAGGAUGUAUUAGAAUAUGACAAGUUUGGGAGGCUACGAAUAGUCCCUUAUUGUGAUGGGUUCAUUCCAGCAUAUGCUGCCGGGAAUAUGGUUAUAGAAGCAAUUAAAAUAUUUUUCAAAAAUCCGUGGAAUAAUUGGUUAAAGAUUUCGUACGAAAUUAAAAUUGUUAUGUGGAAACAGUUUAUGACAAAGUGUUCAUGAGGUGAUUGUCAUGCUAAUGAAGUAGACCGCAUUUUUCAGUUGAAAGCAGCUCUAAGGAUCAAAGAACACUUGUAUGAGGCCCGGAGUAAAUUGGUAAAAUCUAGUUGGUUGAAUGAUGAAGUGUGGUCUAAGUUCUUGAUAUUAUGGGACACUCUUGAAUACAAGUCGAAGAGGGAAUGGGGAAAGACAAAUUGAGCCUCUGAAAUGGGUGGCUCGCUGCACACCGGAGGUUCAAUGAGUUUCGCUACCCACCAAAGAAGACUAGUACUAUUCUUGUCCAACCCUUUUAUCCAUUUCCCCCUUUAUUUCAUUACAACAGAAAAGUAUUUAUUUGAGUCUCCAGUUUAAUUCAUAGGGCUCUGGACUUCUGUUGAACUAUCCCCUCUUCAGUGUGACUCCAUUUCUCUAAAUUAAUCUACAAAUCUUUCUCCUCUGGUGCUAAGAAAUCUGAAUGCCUAAAAUGAUUAUUGUUGAGCAAUUCUACUAUUUUGCAAUGUGAUCUGUCUUUUAUACAACAUCUUUGGAUCUACCUUUGUUUUGAUUAUUCUCAUUUUUUACUAUUUUAUUACAUGGCAAUAUAAAUGUUCAGGAUAUCAAGGUAGGCUAGACAUCUUUGGGAUGGUGGUCAAUGGUUCAUAUGCAUUAUGGGGCACACCUUCAUUUGUAAGAGAUGGAGGAUAGAGAGUGAAAGAAAAUGGUUAAUGAGCACUCAAAACCAAAACAAAAUGAGAAAUAAGCGAUUAUACAUAUAUGGUUCGUGCUAUGCAGGUGUUGCAGUUUGAAACAAGUGAAUUAGUCAGCUUUGAGUCACAAAAAAGAGGGAAGGGGUUCCAAAAGUCAGCUGGCUGAUGAUACUAUAUCUACAAUUUGUUAUUGAGUCCCGUAUCAAGUACCAUGCAAAUUUCCACUUAAGAUAAACUUUUUAUAAACAUCCUGGAUAACUCAUCCAAAAAUACUGAAUCACAAAAUAACUCAUCAGCUAAAAGAGGAGAUACAACGAGCUCUCCAACUAUUUUGUCGCUCUUUUGUCACCCCCAGUCUUUCCAGAAUCUCUCUGUCUUGCCCUUCUUUUCAUUACUAGGAUGUGGUUGUAAUAGUUAUCAAGUUGUUCUCCUUACAAUAGGGGACCAUAUCCUACUUCACAAACUAGCCCUACGUGGAGCAUUUGCAGGUAAAUUUAGACCUCCAAUAGCCAGCAGAUCUCUAUGCAACUGAUGCAGAGAAACAGAAGUACCAAUAGGAUGUACUUCUGUUUGAAUGAAGCUCUGAUAUUUCCUUUACCCACUGAUGUUCUUCCAUAUGCUGAUUCUUGUGCAGACUUAAGAUAAACCUUUUAUAAAUCCAUGAAUACGUGUUCUUCUACUGUUUAAUGCUAUAGUCGAAGUUGGUUUAAUUUUUAAAAUAAUGUAUUUCGCCAUGGGUAAAAUUUUGCAGAAAUUCUUAAAUGGGGGAGUAGAUGUACCUCUCCCUAAAUCUUUCGAAGAGACGUAUAAGAAGAAAAAAUCGGAUAGUACAAGAGCAGAUUGGAUCGAACCGCGUGCUAAGGUUGCAUAUGAAGGAUAUCAAAAAAGCAUUGAAGAUUGGCUUCAAACCCAACUUGCUUCAGAGGAUGGUACCAUAGUCGAACCAUCGCCUGCUGAUAUGACUAGAAUAAGGACAACUGUGGUAGGUGGUCCCAAGAAGGGUAAAACCUAUAUGCUUGGAGUUAACCAAUCCUCGAGUAGUUCUUCCCUAAUGUUUCCCAACUCCGCUUCUAUUUUGCAAAAUGCGAAAGAAAUAGAAACGAUGAAAAGAAAAAUUGAAGAGUUGAUGCAACAGUGUGCAACUAGUGAUGCCAAAUUUGCCAAAUUUGAGGCGUUAGUCAAGAAGCAUAUGCCUCAAGUAUUUGAGGAUGAGGAAGAUAGUGAAUCAAAUGAUUAGCUUGUAGUUUUUCAUUCUUGUUUAUGAUUGUGAUGUGUAGACUUAAACUAUUAGAAAUAGUGUUUAUUUUGGAUUGUGAUGUUUAGACCUAAACUUGUCUUGAAAUGUUUAAAAUAUUUAACUUGUUUGUUUUGCA